GAAGCCGGUGCGAUUCCGGCGCGGUCGCGCCACUGUGAUCGGGGAGCCGGGAUCGACCGGCCAUCCGGGAGUCAGACCA
rnacentral:ncRNA from 2 species